UACGUAGGGGGCGAGCGUUGUCCGGAUUUAUUGGGCGUAAAGAGCGUGUAGGCGGCCAGGUAGGUCCGUUGUGAAAACUCGAGGCUCAACCUCGAGACGUCGAUGGAAACCAUCUGGCUAGAGUCCGGAAGAGGAGAGUGGAAUUCCUGGUGUAGCGGUGAAAUGCGCAGAUAUCAGGAGGAACACCGGUGGCGAAGGCGGCUCUCUGGGCCUUACCUGACGCUGAGGAGCGAAAGCGUGGGUAGCGAACAGG
rnacentral:rRNA from 1 species